UAGGGAAUCUUCCACAAUGGACGCAAGUCUGAUGGAGCAACGCCGCGUGAGUGAAGAAGAUCUUCGGAUCGUAAACUCUGUUGUUAGAGAAGAACACGAGUGAGAGUAACUGUUCAUUCGAUGACGGUAUCUAACCAGCAAGUCACGGCUAACUACGUGCCAG
rnacentral:rRNA from 1 species